rnacentral:rRNA from 1 species
UACGAGAGGCGCAAACGUUAUUCGGAUUUACUGGGCUUAAAGAGUUCGUAGGCGGCGCAGAAAGUAGGGUGUGAAAGCCCUCGGCUUAACCGAGGAAUUGCGCUCUAAACUACUGUGCUUGAGGGACCUAGAGGUGAGCGGAACUGAUGGUGGAGCGGUGAAAUGCGUUGAUAUCAUCAGGAACACCGGAGGCGAAGGCGGCUCACUGGGGGUCUUCUGACGCUGAGGAACGAAAGCCAGGGGAGCGAGCGGG